rnacentral:rRNA from 1 species
AGAGUUUGAUCCUGGCUCAGGACGAACGCUGGCGGCGUGCCUAAUACAUGCAAGUCGAGCGAGCGGAACCAACAGAUUUACUUCGGUAAUGACGUUGGGAAAGCGAGCGGCGGAUGGGUGAGUAACACGUGGGGAACCUGCCCCUAAGUCUGGGAUACCAUUUGGAAACAGGUGCUAAUACCGGAUAAUAAAGCAGAUCGCAUGAUCAGCUUUUGAAAGGCGGCGUAAGCUGUCGCUAAGGGAUGGCCCCGCGGUGCAUUAGCUAGUUGGUAAGGUAACGGCUUACCAAGGCGACGAUGCAUAGCCGAGUUGAGAGACUGAUCGGCCACAUUGGGACUGAGACACGGCCCAAACUCCUACGGGAGGCAGCAGUAGGGAAUCUUCCACAAUGGACGCAAGUCUGAUGGAGCAACGCCGCGUGAGUGAAGAAGGUUUUCGGAUCGUAAAGCUCUGUUGUUGGUGAAGAAGGAUAGAGGUAGUAACUGGCCUUUAUUUGACGGUAAUCAACCAGAAAGUCACGGCUAACUACGUGCCAGCAGCCGCGGUAAUACGUAGGUGGCAAGCGUUGUCCGGAUUUAUUGGGCGUAAAGCGAGCGCAGGCGGAAAAAUAAGUCUAAUGUGAAAGCCCUCGGCUUAACCGAGGAACUGCAUCGGAAACUGUUUUUUCUUGAGUGCAGAAGAGGAGAGUGGAACUCC